rnacentral:rRNA from 1 species
AACGAACGCUGGCGGCAUGCCUAACACAUGCAAGUCGAACGAGACCUUCGGGUCUAGUGGCGCACGGGUGCGUAACGCGUGGGAACCUGCCCUUAGAUUCGGAAUAACUCCCCGAAAGGGGUGCUAAUACCGGAUAAUGUCUUCGGACCAAAGAUGUAGCGCCUUUGGAUGGGCACGCGUUGGAUUAGCUUUUUGGUAGGGUAAAAGCCUAUGAAGGCGACGAUCCAUAGCUGGUCUGAGAGGAUCAUCAGCCACACUGGGACGGAGACACGGCCCAGACUCCUACGGGAGGGAGCAGUAGGAAAUAUUGGACAAUGGGCGAAAGCCUGAUCCAGCAAUGCCUCGUGAGUGAUGAAGGCCUUAGGGUUGUAAAGCUCUUUUACCCGGGAUGAUAAUGACAGUACCGGGAGAAUAAGCUCCGGCUAACUCCGUG